CCUACGGGCGGCAGCAGUGAGGAAUAUUGGUCAAUGGUCGGGAGACUGACCCAGCCAAGCCGCGUGAGGGAUGAAGGUACAGAGUAUCGUAAACCUCUUUUGUCAGGGAACAAAGGCGGGUACGUGUCCCCGGAUGAGUGUACCCUAUGAAACAGCAUCGGCUAACUCCGUUCCAGCAGCCGCGGUAAUACGGAGGAUGCGUGCGUUAUCCGGAUUUAGUGGGUUUAAAGGGUGGGCAGGUGGGUGGUUAUGUCAGGGGUGAAAGCCCGGGGCUCAACCCCGGCCGGGCCGUUGAAACUGGAAGUCUCGAGUGGGAGAGAGGUAGGCGGAAUGCGCGGUGUAGCGGUGAAAUGCAUAGAUAUCGCGCAGAACUCCGAUUGCGAAGGCAGCAUGCCGGGUCAAAACUGACGCUGAGGCACGAAAGCGUGGGGAUCGAACAGGAUUAGAUACCCUUGUAGUC
rnacentral:rRNA from 1 species